rnacentral:rRNA from 1 species
GGGUGAGUAACACGUGGAUAACCUACCUAUAAGACUGAGAUAACUUCGGGAAACCGGAGCUAAUACCGGAUAAUAUUUUGAACCGCAUGGUUCAAAAGUGAAAGACGGUCUUGCUGUCACUUAUAGAUGGAUCCGCGCUGCAUUAGCUAGUUGGUAAGGUAACGGCUUACCAAGGCAACGAUGCAUAGCCGACCUGAGAGGGUGCUCGGCCACACUGGAACUGAGACACGGUCCAG